rnacentral:rRNA from 1 species
UACAGAGGGUGCGAGCGUUAAUCGGAAUUACUGGGCGUAAAGCGCGCGUAGGCGGCUUUGCAAGUCGAUUGUGAAAUCCCCAGGCUUAACCUGGGAACUGCAUUCGAGACUGCAUUGCUAGAGUAUGGGAGAGGGAAGUGGAAUUUCCGGUGUAGCGGUGAAAUGCGUAGAUAUCGGAAGGAACAUCAGUGGCGAAAGCGACUUCCUGGACCAAUACUGACGCUCAUGUGCGAAAGCGUGGGGAGCAAACAGG